GCAAAGGUAGCAUAAUCAUUAGUUUUUUAAUUGAAAACUUGUAUGAAUGAUUGAAUGAGAUAUUAACUGUUUCAUAAAAAUUAUAAUAGAAUUUUACUUUUUAGUUAAAAGGCUAAAAUAUUAUUAUAGGACGAGAAGACCCUAUAGAGUUUUAUAUUAAUUGAUUUAUUAUUUAUUUAGUAGUUUUAAAAUUUUAUUUUAAUUAUUAUUUUGUUGGGGUGACAAUAAAAUUUAUAAAACUUUUAUUAUUUUUUAACAUUAAUAAAUGACUAAUUGAUCCAGUUAUAUUGAUUAAAAAUUUAAAUUACCUUAGGGAUAACAGCGUAAUUUUUUUUUAGAGUUCAUAUCGAUAAAAAAUUUUGC
rnacentral:rRNA from 1 species